UAUAAAAUAACCCACAGAACUACAUGAUUCACCAAUGUAAGAACUACAGAUACUGAAUGAAGAUACUAUCAUUUUAUUUUCAAGUUCAUACAGAGAAGUGACAAUAACUCUAUUAAAGAUUUAAAACAAUUUAAUAAGAAAAAAGAACAAUAAUACUGUUAUAUAAAAUUACAUUUAUGGUCCCUAUAGCGAGUGUAAAAGAAAGCAUUAAUUGGGCCAUAAAGAUUUACAGAAAGUAAAUAUUAAGAACAUUCUGAUCGAUUUAUCGUCUGGAUAAUCUCUUUCC